rnacentral:rRNA from 1 species
UUUUUUUGGUAAUUUUACUAAACUGAUGAAAAGAAACCAACAACGACAGCCUUAGUAGCGGCGAGUGAAGCGGCAAAAGCUCAAAUUUGAAAUCUGGCACUUUCAGUGUCCGAGUUGUAAUUUGAAGAAGGUAUCUUUGGGUCUGGCUCUUGUCUAUGUUUCUUGGAACAGAACGUCACAGAGGGUGAGAAUCCCGUGCGAUGAGAUGUCCCAGACCUAUGUAAAGUUCCUUCGAAGAGUCGAGUUGUUUGGGAAUGCAGCUCUAAGUGGGUGGUAAAUUCCAUCUAAAGCUAAAUAUUGGCGAGAGACCGAUAGCGAACAAGUACAGUGAUGGAAAGAUGAAAAGAACUUUGAAAAGAGAGUGAAAAAGUACGUGAAAUUGUUGAAAGGGAAGGGCUUGAGAUCAGACUUGGUAUUUUGUAUGUUACUCUCUCGGGGGUGGCCUCUACAGUUUACCGGGCCAGCAUCAGUUUGAGCGGUAGGAUAAGUGCAAAGAAAUGUGGCACUGCUUCGGUAGUGUGUUAUAGUCUUUGUCGAUACUGCCAGCUUAGACUGAGGACUGCGGCUUCGGCCUAGGAUGUGGCAUAAAGACCUUAAGUCGCCCGUCUUGAACACGGGAACCAAA